rnacentral:misc_RNA from 1 species
GCAAAAGAAAGAAAUUGAUUCUCGAGCUCAAUUUCACGAGCGAGAUUCAUGAUUUGGAAUAUAUGAACUGAAUCUUGAGAAUGAAUUCGUACCCAAAUAUCAUCUCUUAAGCCACUUGAAAAAAAUCCAAAUACUGUUGGUUUGUUAAAACCUCAACCUGAGCUGGAAGAGCAAUAAAAGCAUCAAUAUAUUCAACAACAGAUUUAUCUUGAGUAAUAGUGGCCAAACAUUCAAAGAGAUUAACACGCAUGUCACCCUCAAAUCGCUAAAGUAAUUCAAUUGUGAGCUGAG